GGGUUGUGAGGUUAAGCGACUAAGCGUACACGGUGGAUGCCCUGGCAGUCAGAGGCGAUGAAGGGCGUGCUAAUCUGCGAUAAGCGCCGGUAAGGUGAUAUGAACCGUUAUAACCGGCGAUACCCGAAUGGGGAAACCCAGUGUGAUUCGUCACACUAUCAUUAACUGAAUCCAUAGGUUAAUGAGGCGAACCGGGGGAACUGAAACAUCUAAGUACCCCGAGGAAAAGAAAUCAACCGAGAUUCCCCCAGUAGCGGCGAGCGAACGGGGAGGAGCCCAGAGCCUGAAUCAGCAUGUGUGUUAGUGGAAGCGUCUGGAAAGGCGCGCGAUACAGGGUGACAGCCCCGUACACAAAAGCGCAUGUGCUGUGAGCUCGAUGAGUAGGGCGGGACACGUGGUAUCCUGUCUGAAUAUGGGGGGACCAUCCUCCAAGGCUAAAUACUCCUGACUGACCGAUAGUGAACCAGUACCGUGAGGGAAAGGCGAUAAGAAACCAGGCGAUGGGAGUGAAAAAGAACCUGAAACCGUGUACGUACAAGCAGUGGGAGCACCCUUCGGGGUGUGACUGCGUACCUUUUGUAUAAUGGGUCAGCGACUUAUAUUCUGUAGCAAGGUUAACCGUAUAGGGGAGCCGGAGGGAAACCGAGUCUUAAUUGGGCGUUAAGUUGCAGGGUAUAGACCCGAAACCCGGUGAUCUAGCCAUGGGCAGGUUGAAGGUUGGGUAACACUAACUGGAGGACCGAACCGACUAAUGUUGAAAAAUUAGCGGAUGACCUGUGGCUGGGGGUGAAAGGCCAAUCAAACCGGGAGAUAGCUGGUUCUCCCCGAAAGCUAUUUAGGUAGCGCCUCGUGAAUUCAUCUCCGGGGGUAGAGCACUGUUUCGGCUAGGGGGCCAUCCCGGCUUACCAACCCGAUGCAAACUGCGAAUACCGGAGAAUGUUAUCACGGGAGACACACGGCGGGUGCUAACGUCCGUCGUGAAGAGGGAAACAACCCAGACCGCCAGCUAAGGUCCCAAAGUCAUGGUUAAGUGGGAAACGAUGUGGGAAGGCCCAGACAGCGGGAUGUUGGCUUAGAAGCAGCCAUCAUUUAAAGAAAGCGUAAUAGCUCACUGGUCGAGUCGGCCUGCGCGGAAGAUGUAACGGGGCUAAACCAUGCACCGAAGCUGCGGCAGCGAACGUAUCACCCAAGACAACUUUACGGAGUUGACGAUUGACGGAGCGAAGCGACGUCAAAGCGUUCAUUAAAGUCGAGUUGGCUUAGGGAUACGUUCGUUGGGUAGGGGAGCGUUCUGUAAGCCUGUGAAGGUGUGUCGUGAGGCAUGCUGGAGGUAUCAGAAGUGCGAAUGCUGACAUAAGUAACGAUAAAGCGGGUGAAAAGCCCGCUCGCCGGAAGACCAAGGGUUCCUGUCCAACGUUAAUCGGGGCAGGGUGAGUCGACCUAAGGCGAGGCCGAAAGGCGUAGUCGAUGGGAAACGGGUUAAUAUUCCCGUACUUGGUGUUACUGCGAAGGGGGGACGGAGAAGGCUAUGUUGGCCGGGCGACGGUUGUCCCGGUUUAAGCGUGUAGGUGUGUGUUCCAGGUAAAUCCGGUUCACUUUAACACUGAGGCGUGACGACGAGGCACUACGGUGCUGAAGCAACAAAUGCCCUGCUUCCAGGAAAAGCCUCUAAGCAUCAGGUAACACGAAAUCGUACCCCAAACCGACACAGGUGGUCAGGUAGAGAAUACCAAGGCGCUUGAGAGAACUCGGGUGAAGGAACUAGGCAAAAUGGUGCCGUAACUUCGGGAGAAGGCACGCUGACACGUAGGUGAAGUGAUUUACUCAUGGAGCUGAAGUCAGUCGAAGAUACCAGCUGGCUGCAACUGUUUAUUAAAACACAGCACUGUGCAAACACGAAAGUGGACGUAUACGGUGUGACGCCUGCCCGGUGCCGGAAGGUUAAUUGAUGGGGUCAGCGUAAGCGAAGCUCCUGAUCGAAGCCCCGGUAAACGGCGGCCGUAACUAUAACGGUCCUAAGGUAGCGAAAUUCCUUGUCGGGUAAGUUCCGACCUGCACGAAUGGCGUAAUGAUGGCCAGGCUGUCUCCACCCGAGACUCAGUGAAAUUGAACUCGCUGUGAAGAUGCAGUGUACCCGCGGCAAGACGGAAAGACCCCGUGAACCUUUACUAUAGCUUGACACUGAACAUUGAGCCUUGAUGUGUAGGAUAGGUGGGAGGCUUUGAAGUGUGGACGCCAGUCUGCAUGGAGCCGACCUUGAAAUACCACCCUUUAAUGUUUGAUGUUCUAACGUGGACCCGUAAUCCGGGUUGCGGACAGUGUCUGGUGGGUAGUUUGACUGGGGCGGUCUCCUCCUAAAGAGUAACGGAGGAGCACGAAGGUUGGCUAAUCCUGGUCGGACAUCAGGAGGUUAGUGCAAUGGCAUAAGCCAGCUUGACUGCGAGCGUGACGGCGCGAGCAGGUGCGAAAGCAGGUCAUAGUGAUCCGGUGGUUCUGAAUGGAAGGGCCAUCGCUCAACGGAUAAAAGGUACUCCGGGGAUAACAGGCUGAUACCGCCCAAGAGUUCAUAUCGACGGCGGUGUUUGGCACCUCGAUGUCGGCUCAUCACAUCCUGGGGCUGAAGUAGGUCCCAAGGGUAUGGCUGUUCGCCAUUUAAAGUGGUACGCGAGCUGGGUUUAGAACGUCGUGAGACAGUUCGGUCCCUAUCUGCCGUGGGCGCUGGAGAACUGAGGGGGGCUGCUCCUAGUACGAGAGGACCGGAGUGGACGCAUCACUGGUGUUCGGGUUGUCAUGCCAAUGGCACUGCCCGGUAGCUAAAUGCGGAAGAGAUAAGUGCUGAAAGCAUCUAAGCACGAAACUUGCCCCGAGAUGAGUUCUCCCUGAGACUUAGAGUCUCCUGAAGGAACGUUGAAGACGACGACGUUGAUAGGCCGGGUGUGUAAGCGCAGCGAUGCGUUGAGCUAACCGGUACUAAUGAACCGUGAGGCUUAACCUUACAACGCCGAAG
rnacentral:rRNA from 1 species